UGGCCAGGUGGAUCUCAGAGCCAGGUGAGAGUGAUGGUAACCCUCUCUCUGUGGCCAGGUGAGAGUGAUGGUAACCCUCUCUAUUUGGCCAGGUGGAUCUCAGAGCCAGGUGAGAGUGAUGGUAACCCUCUCUCUGUGGCCAGGUGAGAGUGAUGGUAACCCUCUCUGUGGCCAGGUGAGAGUGAUGGUAACCCUCUCUCUGUGGCCAGGUGGAUCUCAGAGCCAGGUGAGAGUGAUGGUAACCCUCUCUCUGUGGCCAGGUGAGAGUGAUGGUAACCCUCUCUAUUUGGCCAGGUGGAUCUCAGAGCCAGGUGAGAGUGAUGGUAACCCUCUCUCUGUGGCCAGGUGGAUCUCAGAGCCAGGUGAGAGUGAUGGUAACCCUCUCUAUUUGGCCAGGUGGAUCUCAGAGCCAGGUGAGAGUGAUGGUAACCCUCUCUCUGUGGCCAGGUGAGAGUGAUGGUAACCCUCUCUAUUUGGCCAGGUGGAUCUCAGAGCCAGGUGAGAGUGAUGGUAACCCUCUCUCUGUGGCCAGGUGAGAGUGAUGGUAACCCUCUCUCUCUGUGGCCAGGUGGAUCUCAGAGCCAGGUGAGAGUGAUGGUAAACCUCUACUCAGAGUUCCACAGACUGACUUGGGUCUCCCUGUCU